UACGAAGGGUGCAAGCGUUAAUCGGAAUUACUGGGCGUAAAGCGUGCGUAGGUGGUUUCUUAAGUCUGCUGUGAAAGCCCUGGGCUCAACCUGGGAAUGGCGGUGGAUACUGAGGAGCUAGAGUGCGGUAGAGGAGGGUGGAAUUCCCGGUGUAGCGGUGAAAUGCGUGGAGAUCGGGAGGAACAUCAGUGGCGAAGGCGGCCCUCUGGACCAGCACUGACGCUGAGGCACGAAAGCGUGGGGAGCAAACAGG
rnacentral:rRNA from 1 species